rnacentral:rRNA from 1 species
ACCAGGAUUCUCCUAGUAACGGCGAGUGAACGGAGAUUAGCCCAUCACCGAAGCCUGCGUGUGUUUGCAUGCUAGGCAAUGUGGUGUUAAUGCUUGUACCUGGGAUCGUGUACCUACCCGAAGUCUAAAUCCGAUUGUGGCUUUGGAUUCAUUCCAUAGCGGGUGAAAGUCCCGUGCGGGUAGGACUCAUUCUAAUCACACGGUCCUCAGAUGUGCAUGCAUUCGAGUCGGAUUGCUUGAGAAUGCAGUCCAAAGUGGGUGGUAAACUCCAUCCAAGGCUAAAUACUGGCACGAGUCCGAUAGUAGACAAGUACCGUGAGGGAAAGUUGAAAAGUACUCUGAAGAGAGAGUAAAUAGUACGUGAAGCCGAUUGCAGGGAAGCUGGUGGAGUCAAGCUUCGUGCUUGAGGGAUUGAUGCUGGGAGCAGGUGUGUGAUUUGGAUGUGAGGUUGGACGACUUGGAAUAAGUUGGGCGUGUUCUGAAUGCGCUUCAAGUCAUUCUGGGUAGAGUGUUAUGAGCCAGCCUCGCUUUCCUACUCUCAGUGUUGUAUUCUUCGCUGCACAGGCCACAGUCAAUAGGUGCAUGCGGUAUGAAGGCCUAACUGUGCUUCGGCGGGUGCAAGCUCUCCGGGCGCAGGAUGGCAGGUGCUGUCUUCGGGCCUUGUGUUCGUUGAUAGUUGUUGUGGUUUUGACCGGCUGGUCUUCAUACUGUAUUGUGCUUAUUGCCUAUCGAUGGCGUAACUUCCUCGGAAGUUGCGUUGUGAAGAACUGUGGCUCUGAG